CACGUAGGGCGCAAGCGUUGUCCGGAAUUAUUGGGCGUAAAGGGCUCGUAGGCGGUUUGUCGCGUCGGGAGUGAAAACUCAGGGCUCAACCCUGAGCGUGCUUCCGAUACGGGCAGACUAGAGGUAUGCAGGGGAGAACGGAAUUCCUGGUGUAGCGGUGGAAUGCGCAGAUAUCAGGAGGAACACCGGUGGCGAAGGCGGUUCUCUGGGCAUUACCUGACGCUGAGGAGCGAAAGUGUGGGGAGCGAACAGG
rnacentral:rRNA from 1 species